rnacentral:misc_RNA from 1 species
UUGAUUUAUUUUGCUAUAAGCCACUCAGAUAAUGCCACAUAUAAAAACAAGAGUUUGGAGUCCUCCGGCGGGCGCCUGGAUCCGGGGCACGCAAAGGCGCCCGGGGCGAUCCCGCCGAAGCAACAGAUGGUAUGUUCACAGGGGUUUGGGAGUUUUUACACUCAGUAAUGAUCCCUCCGCUGGUUCACCAACGGAGA